UAUGGGGCUCAAGAUGAGCCUGGUUAUGGGAGGCCUGAAUAUGGACAAUCCGAAUCGGGUUAUGGACGGAAGCCGGAGUUUGAACGACCCGGAUCGGAAUUUGAAUCUGGAUAUGGCCGAAAACCUGAAUUUGAGCGGCCGCCUCCUCCGGAGUUUGGAUCUGGGUAUGGCCGGAGACCCGAAUACGAACAGCCACAUCCACCGGAAUUCGGAUCUGAUUAUGGACGGAGACCAGAAUUUGAGCAGCCUCCGCCGCCUGAAUUUGGAUCUGGGUAUGGCCGGAGACCCGAGUAUGGGGAAGACGGAUCCGACUAUGGAACUGGAUAUGGCAGGAAACCCGAGUAUGGGGAACACGGAUCAGAGUACGGAACUGGAUAUGGCAGGAAACCCGAGUACGGGAAACAUGGAUCUGAGUACGGAACUGGAUAUGGCGGGAAACCUGAGUAUGGAGAACAGGAAUCCGAGUACGGAACUGAAUAUGGCAGAAAACAAGAGUAUGGAGAAUAUGGAUCCGAAUAUGGGAGGAAACCCGGGUAUGGGGAGUCCAAAUCUGAAUACGGGACUGGGUAUGGACGGAAGGCAGAGUAUGAGGGAGGUGGGUCUGGACAUGGACGAAAGAAUGAGGACGAAUAUGGGUCGGGUUAUGGAGAUAGG
rnacentral:lncRNA from 1 species